rnacentral:lncRNA from 1 species
AAGAGUGGAAUAUCCCGUUCUGCUAUCAAAGAAAGAAUCGAAUCCGUCGCUUGUUUUUCUAGCUAUCAAGCCAGCCGCGUUUUUCUUGUACUCUCUAGCUAUACGUCUAGCUGAAGCGCUGCCGUGGCACUUGCUGCAUCCUAACUUCUCUUAUGUCUGGGUCUGGGUAAGCACCAGCACAAGCAAAGCCAUGCUUUUUUGCAAAAACGAAAAAAGAGAAAUAGAAAGCCAAGGCCGAGCUUAAGAGGUGUCCACUAAAUCUUUC